AUAAGGAUGUCAAUAAUCUGGAAAACCUGAAAUAUGUUAAAAAUAUUUUAUCAGAAUGGACCAAUAUUGAACAAAAUUGCAAUGCUGUUGACAAACAAUGGGCAGUUGUGUGGGUUCGGUUUCACAUAACUAUUUCAGUUUUUAAAAGAAAAAAUCCUGUUUUAGCAAAGGUUGAACUUUUUUUCUAUGCAAGAAAACUAAACACUAUCAUCAC
rnacentral:lncRNA from 1 species